GACGAACGCUGGCGGCGUGCUUAACACAUGCAAGUCGAACGGAAAGGCCCUGCUUUUGUGGGGUGCUCGAGUGGCGAACGGGUGAGUAACACGUGAGUAACCUGCCCUUGACUUUGGGAUAACUUCAGGAAACUGGGGCUAAUACCGGAUAGGAGCUCCUGCUGCUUGGUGGGGGUUGGAAAGUUUCGGCGGUUGGGGAUGGACUCGCGGCUUAUCAGCAUGUUGGUGGGGUAGUGGCUUACCAAGGCUUUGACGGGUAGCCGGCCUGAGAGGGUGACCGGCCACAUUGGGACUGAGGUACGGCCCAGACUCCUACGGGAGGCAGCGGUGGGGAAUAUUGCACAAUGGGCGGAAGCCUGAUGCAGCAACGCCGCGUGCGGGAUGACGGCCUUCGGGUUGUAAACCGCUUUCGCCUGUGACGAAGCGUGAGUGACGGUAAUGGGUAAAGAAGCACCGGCUAACUACGUG
rnacentral:rRNA from 1 species